CCUACGUGGUGCAGCAGUAGGGAAUCUUCCACAAUGGGCGAAAGCCUGAUGGAGCAACGCCGCGUGGGUGAAGAAGGUCUUCGGAUCGUAAAACCCUGUUGUUAGAGAAGAAAGUGCGUGAGAGUAACUGUUCACGUUUCGACGGUAUCUAACCAGAAAGCAACGGCUAACUACGUGCCAGCAGCCGCGGUAAUACGUAGGUGGCAAGCGUUAUCCGGAUUUAUUGGGCGUAAAGGGAACGCAGGCGGUCUUUUAAGUCUGAUGUGAAAGCCUUCGGCUUAACCGGAGUAGUGCAUUGGAAACUGGGAUACUUGAGUGCAGAAGAGGAGAGUGGAACUCCAUGUGUAGCGGUGAAAUGCGUAGAUAUAUGGAAGAACACCAGUGGCGAAAGCGGCUCUCUGGUCUGUAACUGACGCUGAGGUUCGAAAGCGUGGGUAGCAAACAGGAUUAGAUACCCGGGUAGUC
rnacentral:rRNA from 1 species